UACGUAGGGGGCAAGCGUUGUCCGGAAUCAUUGGGCGUAAAGCGCGUGUAGGCGGUUCGAUAAGUCUGCUGUGAAAGUCCAGGGCUCAACCCUGGAAAGCCGGUGGAAACUGUCAAGCUUGAGUCCGGAAGAGGCGAGUGGAAUUCCUGGUGUAGCGGUGAAAUGCGCAGAUAUCAGGAGGAACACCAAUGGCGAAGGCAGCUCGCUGGGACGGUACUGACGCUGAGACGCGAAAGCGUGGGGAGCAAACAGG
rnacentral:rRNA from 1 species